rnacentral:pre_miRNA from 1 species
AGUGGGAUAGCUGGGUCAAAUGAUGAUCCAUUCCAAAUUUUCUGAGGAAUAUCCAUACUGCUUUCUAUAAUGGUUGCACUAAUUUGGAGUCCCACCAGCAAU